rnacentral:rRNA from 1 species
AACGAACGCUGGCGGCAGGCCUAACACAUGCCAGUCGAGCGCCCCGCAAGGGGAGCGGCGGACGGGUGAGUAACGCAUGGGAACGUACCCUUUGCUACGGAAUAGCCUCGGGAAACUGGGAGUAAUACCGUAUGUGUCCUUCGGGAGAAAGAUUUAUCGGCAAGGGAUCGGCCCGCGUUGGAUUAGGUAGUUGGUGGGGUAAUGGCCUACCAAGCCGACGAUCCAUAGCUGGUUUGAGAGGAUGAUCAGCCACACUGGGACUGAGACACGGCCCAGACUCCUACGGGAGGCAGCAGUGGGGAAUCUUAGACAAUGGGCGCAAGCCUGAUCGAGCCAUGCCGCGUGAGCGAUGAAGGCCUUAGGGUUGUAAAGCUCUUUCAGGGGGGAAGAUAAUGACUGUACCCCCAGAAGAAGCCCCGGCUAACUCCGUG